AUUCCAGCUCCAAUAGCGUAUAUUUAAGUUGUUGCAGUUAAAGAGCUCGUAGUUGGAUUUCGGGCCCAGGUGACCGGUCCGCCGUUUCGGUGUGCACUGGUUAGCUCGGUCUUUCUGCCGGGGACACGCUCCGUCUUAAUUGCCAGACGUGGAGUCGGCGAUGUUACUUUGAAAAAAUUAGAGUGUUCAAAGCAGGCUUACGCUCUGAAUACUAUAGCAUGGAAUAACAUGAUAGGACUCCGAGCCUAUUUUGUUGGUCUUCGGGACCGGAGUAAUGAUUAAGAGGGACAGUUGGGGGCAUUCGUAUUACGGUGUCAGAGGUGAAAUUCUUGGAUUUCCGUAAGACGAACUUCUGCGAAAGCAUUUGCCAAGGAUGUUUUCAUUG
rnacentral:rRNA from 1 species